CUUGAAGAUCAUAUUACUAAAUAAGUACAGUAAAAUUUGUAAAAAUUCUCAUUUCUUUGAUUAAUAAUACAUAAAUAUUCAUCAAAUUCUAAGCAUUUCACACCAUUUAUAUACUUUAUUAAUCAUGAUUUCCUAAACAUUUGAAAAAAGGUUGAAUGUAUUGAUUAAAUCCCCUAAGAGGCAGACUGUGUACUUCAUAGAUUUUUCUGCAUACCUUGACAGCUUUUGAUGCUCAAACAUAUUUAAUCACAAAAUAGCAUAUUGGCAUCAAAAGCUAGUCACUUGACUUAAAAGCAUCCAUAUUAUAGGCUUUUAUUCACUGCAUCAUUACUGUAUCUUCCUCUAUUUUAUGAUUAUAACUUAGCUAAACCAUUUAUUUAAAUGUAAACUGGACCUCUGACAUGUUCUACGAAACAAAGAAAUAGAAACCUAAAAACUUAGUGCACAUUCAGCUAUUAAGACAGUAACUAUACUGGUGAUUUCUGUCCAUUUUUUGAUUUUUGUUUUGGUUAGCUUAGUGGAGAUAUAAUUUACAUAAAAUGUACCCAUUUUAAUAGUACAGUUUAAUCAGCCUUGGAAAAUGUAUACACCAAUAUCAUCUCCCAAGAUUUAGAAGAUUUUUUUUUUUUACCAGAAAAAGUUUCAUCUCCCUCUGCAGUUCAUCUCUCCCCAGCCCUGGGUAACCACUGGUGUAUUUUUGAUUUACUGGAGGUUAAUUUUGCCUGUUUUAGAAUUUCAUUUAAAUUGAAUCAGACAGUAUGUACCCUUGUGUUUCUUUAGCUUAACACAUUUCGGGGGGGGAGGGGUACCAGGGAUCAAACUCAGGACCUUUGCACAUGUGAGGCAGGCAGCACCACUGAGCUAAAUUCCAGGCCCUUAGCUUAACACCUUUUGAGAUUAAUGCUGUUGCAUAAACCUGUAGUCUAUCCCUUUUUAUUACUGGAUAGUAUGCCAUUGAAGUGUACUGCUAUUUGUUAAUCCAUUGGUUGAUGGUUAUUUGGGUUAUUUCCAGUAUGGGUUAUUAUAAAUAAAUCUGCUACAAAUA
rnacentral:lncRNA from 1 species